rnacentral:rRNA from 1 species
GGAACUCUAAGGAGACUGCCGGUGACAAACCAGAGGAAGGUGGGGACGACGUCAAGUCAUCAUGGCCCUUACGACCUGGGCUACACACGUGCUACAAUGGGGAGUACAAAGGGUUGCGAAGCCGCGAGGUGGAGCUAAUCUCAUAAAACUUCUCGUAGUCCGGAUUGGAGUCUGCAACUCGACUCCAUGAAGUCGGAAUCGCUAGUAAUCGUGAAUCAGAAUGUCACGGUGAAUACGUUCCCGGGCCUUGUACACACCGCCCGUCACACCAUGGGAGUGGGUUGCAAAAGAAGUGGCUAGUCUAACCUUCGGGAGGACGGUCACCACUUUGUGAUUCAUGACUGGGGUGAAGUCGUAACAAGGUAGCC